UAGCAGUAGGGAAUCUUCCACAAUGGACGAAAGUCUGAUGGAGCAACGCCGCGUGAGUGAAGAAGGUUUUCGGAUCGUAAAACUCUGUUGUCAGAGAAGAACGUGUGCGAGAGUAACUGUUCGUGCAGUGACGGUAUCUGGCCAGAAAGNCACGGCUAANUACGUGCCAGCAGCCGCGGUAAUACGUAGGUGGCAAGCGUUGUCCGGAUUUAUUGGGCGUAAAGGGAACGCAGGCGGUUUUUUAAGUCUGAUGUGAAAGCCUUCGGCUUAACCGAAGUCGUGCAUUGGAAACUGGGAGACUUGAGUGCAGAAGAGGAGAGUGGAACUCCAUGUGUAGCGGUG
rnacentral:rRNA from 1 species